UCUUUAAUGGAGAGUUUGAUCCUGGCUCAGGACGAACGCUGGCGGCGUGCCUAAUACAUGCAAGUCGAGCGGGGUUAAUUAGAAGCUUGCUUCUAACU
rnacentral:rRNA from 1 species